rnacentral:rRNA from 1 species
GUGGGGAAUUUUGCGCAAUGGGCGAAAGCCUGACGCAGCAACGCCGCGUGGGUGAUGAAGGUCUUCGGAUCGUAAAACCCUGUCGUCAGGGACGAAGGUUCUGGGGUGAAUAGCCCCAGGAUUUGACGGUACCUGGAGAGGAAGCCCCGGCUAACUCUGUGCCAGCAGCCGCGGUAAUACAGAGGGGGCAAGCGUUAUUCGGAAUUAUUGGGCGUAAAGGGCGCGUAGGCGGUGUCUUAAGUGGGAUGUGCAAUCCCCGGGCUUAACCUGGGAACUGCAUCCCAGACUGGGACGCUGGAGUACUGGAGAGGGUGGUGGAAUUCCACGUGUAGCGGUGAAAUGCGUAGAGAUGUGGAGGAACACCAGUGGCGAAGGCGGCCACCUGGACAGUAACUGACGCUGAGGCGCGAAAGUGUGGGUAGCAAACA